rnacentral:lncRNA from 1 species
CCCGACUGACGCCUCCUCGGCACCGGACCCACAGAGAAAUGACAGAGAAACUACCCUACGUAUUGCAGCUCCAUCACAACCCUCACCCGGCCAUAAACACUGACACCAAACCAACGCCUGUCGCAUUAGUAAUCAACAUGAGUCAUCUCUCCAUGAGAGGAGCAGGCCAGAGAACUAGCAGUGAGGGAGAUUAGGAUCCAAGCUCAGGGUGUGUGAGAGAAAGAGGAAAAGAGAGAGGGGUGUGUGAAUUUAAGAGACACACCCCCAGUGUAUCCAAAGCACUCUCACACGUACACAGUGCACCCCAUCAACACACUUGGGCCAAAACUCACUCUCCCUUCUGACAAGUGUCUAAACUCACACACAAGCCCCAACUUACAGUUAAGCUGUUCUGCGAUGCAUUCCCACUAAUUCCAGUCCUAUGACAGUCUCUCCCUCCCCAUCCCACAAGCUAGGUUUAGCAUAGGGCCCCAAAAUGUAACUACAAUAUUAGACACACAUUGAUACAAAAAUGUGAUUUAUCCACAGUUCCCGUUCGUGAUGUGUAAAAAGGGCUAUGCCGCUUUGUGAUGCUGGGGGCUGGUGGAGUGGGGAUAUCAUGAAACAUCCCCAAACCCAGAGGAAAAGAGGCCCAGCAGAGUGCCACUACGGUUACAUUCUCACAUCUCCCCCAUCCGGUUGACUGACUGAUAAGAUACUCCAUUUCAUUUGAUGUGGCCUAAAGAGAGUGACUAUAUCCCAUAGUCAUCUUACAGUUUUGUAUACUGGCACCCAUACUCAAACAAUAUUAAUUAUAUAUUUUUACACAAUUAAGCUCAAGGACCGCUUGUUCCCGUUUGACUACAACCAGUGUAAAAAAGAAAGAAAAACAGUGAAAAGCCUAACUGGAAGGCUGAAGCUAGAAAGGACAACCAUAUUUUCAAAUGUUACUACAUAAUAUUCUGUAAGUAUGAGUAUUUUAAGUAACUGGGGCAGCCAUGUUAACCAGUAGCUUCCCUUAAGUCAAGCCUGAAUUGACUUG